rnacentral:tRNA from 1 species
UCCCAUGGUUUAGCAGUGAGGACAUUGGACUUUGAAUCCAGUAACCCGAGUUCAAAUCUCGGUGGGA